rnacentral:rRNA from 1 species
UACGUAGGGUGCGAGCGUUGCCCGGAUUUAUUGGGCGUAAAGGGCGCGUAGGCGGCCUUUCAAGUGACGGGUGAAAUCCCCCGGCUUAACCGGGGAACUGCCUGUCAGACUGGGAGGCUUGAGACCGGGAGAGGUGAGUGGAAUUCCCAGUGUAGCGGUGAAAUGCGUAGAUAUUGGGAGGAACACCAGUGGCGAAGGCGGCUCACUGGACCGGUACUGACGCUGAUGCGCGAAAGCGUGGGGAGCAAACAGG